rnacentral:rRNA from 1 species
UACAGGAGGUCUCAAGCGUUGUUCGGAUUCAUUGGGCGUAAAGGGUGCGUAGGCGGCUCGGUAAGUCGGGUGUGAAACCCCCCAGGCUCAACCUGGGGACGCCACCCGAUACUGCUGUGGCUAGAGUCCAGUAGGGGAGUGUGGAAUUCCCGGUGUAGCGGUGAAAUGCGCAGAUAUCAGGAAGAACACCCGUGGCGAAGGCGGCUCUCUGGGACGGUACUGACGCUGAGACGCGAAAGCGUGGGGAGCGAACAGG